rnacentral:rRNA from 1 species
GGAACCCUGAUCCAGCCAUGCCGCGUGUGUGAAGAAGGCCUUUUGGUUGUAAAGCACUUUAAGCGAGGAGGAGGCUACUGGUAUUAAUACUACCGGAUAGUGGACGUUACUCGCAGAAUAAGCACCGGCUAACUCUGUGCCAGCAGCCGCGGUAAUACAGAGGGUGCGAGCGUUAAUCGGAUUUACUGGGCGUAAAGCGUGCGUAGGCGGCUUUUUAAGUCGGAUGUGAAAUCCCUGAGCUUAACUUAGGAAUUGCAUUCGAUACUGGGAGGCUAGAGUAUGGGAGAGGAUGGUAGAAUUCCAGGUGUAGCGGUGAAAUGCGUAGAGAUCUGGAGGAAUACCGAUGGCGAAGGCAGCCAUCUGGCCUAAUACUGACGCUGAGGUACGAAAGCAUGGGGAGCAAACAGGAUUAGAUACCCUGGUAGUCCAUGCCGUAAACGAUGUCUACUAGCCGUUGGGGCCUUUGAGGCUUUAGUGGCGCAGCUAACGCGAUAAGUAGACCGCCUGGGGAGU